rnacentral:ncRNA from 2 species
UAUUCCCGUAUAUCGAUCGGCUCUGAUGGAGAACAGCCAUCAGACGCAAGGGGGAAAGUUCGGUGCGAAUCCGGCGCUGUCCCGCAACUGUAAUGAGAUAAUUGCAUCUCUGAGUCAGGAUGCCCGCCGAUUUGUUUGCAAUCAU